rnacentral:lncRNA from 10 species
GGGCGGGGCCCUUAGAAGUUCCGCCCAGAAGCUCCUGCUCAGUAACUACAGACGCGAAGCUCAGCCUCUCGGUUUGGGAAUUUUCUUGGAGGCCGAGGCCCUGCGCCUCUGUCUGCACCCAAGGCGACCGCCCAGCUUACCCCCGGCUCUUCUGAGCACAGGGAGGCCUCCCAGCAAAGCCUGAACCCUCUAAGUUUAGCUGCAGGCUUCGAACCCCGACCGUCCCCGCCGAGCCUUGGGCUGCUGAGGUGGGGAUGAACUGGGCGAAAGACACUUGGGAGUUAGGAAGAAACAAACAAGCAGGGAAGUGACCAGGAGACAAGAUGGGCGUCCACAGAAUGAAUACAGGAAUGUCUGUCUGCCUGUCUGUGUAUACUCUGUGAAGGAAUAUACCAACAUUACAUGCUGACCCAAGGAUAGCCAGUACGCCUUCUGCAAGAGGAAAGUUUGUGUUUCAAAAUCCAUCAAGUGAAAGAGAACAGAAAAAUUCAGAGGGCGUCAUUCACGGUAUCAUUUGAGGAUAUGCUGCAGCAAAAUGAGUGAAUAAACAAGAAAGUCAAAGACAUGGGAUUGAGGAAACAGUGACUUCAGCCCAAGAUUGGAAUGACAGGGAGCCCCAGGCCACUGGGCAGCAGCACAGACAGCAAUCUGUUCAGACUGCAGCAGAACAGCAAACUCCUGGAGCAGUAUCAAGAGGUGGCGGGGGUUCCAAGAUGGCCGAAUAGGACCAGCUCCAGUCUACAGCUCCCAGUAUGAGCGACACAGAAGACGGGUGACUUCUGCAUUUCCAACUGAGGUACCGCAUUCAUCUCACUGGGGCUUGUCAGACACUGGGUGCAGCCCACAGAGUGUGAGCCGAAGCAGGGCGAGGCAUCGCCUCACCUGGGAAGCACAAGGGGUCAGGAAUUCCCUUUACUAGCCAAGGGAAGCUGUGGCAGAUGGUACCUGGAAAAUCGGGACACUCCCACCCUAAUAUUGCGCUUUUCCAACAGCCUUAACAAACAGCACACCAGGAGAUUAUAUCCCGCGCCUGGCUCAGAGGGUCCCAUGCCCACGGAGCCUCGCUCAUUGCUAGCACAGCAGUCUGAGAUCAAACUGCAAGGCGGCAGUGAGGCUGGGGGAGGGGCAUCCGCCAUUGCUAAGGCUUGAGUAGGUAAACAAAGCGGCCUGGAAGCUCGAACUGGGUGGAGCCCACCACAGCUCAAGGAGGCCUGCCUGCCUCUGUAGACUCCACCUCUGGGGGCAGGGCAUAGCUGAACAAAAGGCAGCAGAAACUUCUGCAGAAUUAAACAUCCCUGUCUGACAGCUUUGAAGACAGUAGUGGUUCUCCCAGCACAGUUUGAGAUCUGAGAACAGACAGACUACCUCCUCAAGUGGACCCCUGACCCCUGAGUAGCCUAACUGGUAGGCACCUCCCAGUAGGGGCCGACUGACACCUCAUAUGGCUGGGUGCCCCUCUGAGACAAAGCUUCCAGAGGAAGGAUCAGGCAGCAACAUUGGCCAUUCUGCAAUAUUUGCUGUUCUGCAGCCUCCACUGGUGAUACUCAGGCAAACAAGGUCUGGAGUGGACCUACAGCAAACUCCAACAGACCUGUAGCUGAAGGUCCUGUUAGAAGGAAAACUAACAAACAGAAAGGACAUCCACACCAAAACCCCAUCUGUAUGUCACCAUCAUCAAAGACCAAAGGUAGAUAAAACCAUAAAGAUGGGGAGAAACUAGAGCAGAAAAGCUGAAAAUUCUAAAAAUCAGAGCACCUAUUCUCCUCCAAAGUAACGCAGCUCCUCGCCAGCAGCAGAACAAAGCUGGACAGAGAACAACUUUGACAAGUUGAGAGAAGAAGGCUUCAAACGAUCAGUAAUAACAAACUUCUCCGAGCUAAAGGAGGAUGUUCGAACCCAUCGCAAAAAAGCUAAAAACAUGCAAAAAAGAGUAGACGAAUGGCUAACUACAAUAAACAGCAUACAGAAGACCUCAGGUACCCAAUGGAGCUGAAAACCAUGGCACGAGAACUAUAUGACACAUGCACAAGCUUCAGUAGCCGAUUUGAUCAAGUGGAAGAAAGGGUAUCAGUGAUUGUAGAUCAAAUGAAUGAAAUGAAGUGAGAAGAGUUUAGAGAAAAAAGAGUAAAAAGAAAUGAACGAAGCCUCUGAGAAAUAUGAGACUAUGUGAAGAGACCAAAUCUACGUUUGACUGGUAUACCUGAAAGUGAUGGGGAGAAUGGAACCAAGUUGGAAAACACUCUUCAGGGUAUUAUCCAGGAGAACUUCCCCAAC